rnacentral:rRNA from 1 species
AUACGGAGGGUGCAAGCGUUAUUCGGAAUCACUGGGCGUAAAGGACGCGUAGGCGGGUUGGCAAGUCAGAUGUGAAAUCCUACAGCUUAACUGUAGAACUGCGUUUGAAACUGCUAACCUAGAGUAUGGGAGGGGGAGAUGGAAUUAGUGGUGUAGGGGUAAAAUCCGUAGAUAUCACUAGGAAUACCGCAAGCGAAGGCGAUCUCCUGGAACAUAACUGACGCUAAGGCGUGAAAGCGUGGGGAGCAAACAGGAUUAGAAACCCCAGUAGUCC